rnacentral:lncRNA from 1 species
AACAGAUAGCCAAUCAAUGGUCUUACAUCUGACUCCACAAAAGAAACAUAACAGGAAAUGGAGUGCCAAUAAAUGGUCUUAUAUCCAGCUCCCCAAAAGGAACAGGAAACAGAUAACCAAUCAAUGGUCUUACAUCUGACUCCUCAAACGAAACAAAUAACAAAUGCAAAAGCAAAAUGCAAACAAUAUGCAAAAGCAACAUGAAGGAUGCACAAGUAAGCAAACAAUCAAUAAAUUAGCACACUCUAUACACAACCAAG